GAGCCAUUCGCGGACACCGCCUGCACACCAUUUACGAUGGUAGGAACAACCACCAUAUUGGUAGAUUCAAUAGCGGCUUU
rnacentral:tRNA from 1 species